rnacentral:rRNA from 1 species
AUUGAACGCUAGCGGCAUGCUUUACACAUGCAAGUCGAACGAGUGGCGGACGGGUGAGUAGUAUAUCGGAACGUGCCCAGCAGCGGGGGCUAACUACUGGAAAGAGUGGCUAAUACCGCAUACUACUGGAGCGGCCGAUAUUGGAUUAGCUAGUUGGUGGGGUAAAGGCUCACCAAGGCAAAGAUCCGUAGCUGGUUUGAGAGGCUGACCAGGCACACUGGGACUGAGACACGGCCCAGACGCCUCAGGGAGGCAGCAGUGGGGAAUUUGGGACAAUGGAGUAAGGCCUGAUCCAGCAAUCGCGCGUGUAUGAGAAGGCCUUCGGGUUGUAAAAUACUGUUGGUAGAGAAGCGGUAUCUGCAGAAUAAGCACCGGCUAACUACGUGCCAGCAGCCGCGGUAAUAC